rnacentral:rRNA from 1 species
UUGACCUCAAAUCAGGCGGGACUACCCGCUGAACUUAAGCAUAUCAAUAAGCGGAGGAAAAGAAACUAACAAGGAUUCCCCUAGUAACUGCGAGUGAAGCGGGAUGAGCUCAAAUUUAAAAUCUGGCGUCUUCGGCGUCCGAGUUGUAAUUUAGAGAAGCGUUUUCCGCGCCGGACCGUGUACAAGUCUCCUGGAACGGAGCGUCAUAGAGGGUGAGAAUCCCGUCUUUGACACGGACCCCCGGUGCUCUGUGAUACGCUCUCGAAGAGUCGAGUUGUUUGGGAAUGCAGCUCAAAAUGGGUGGUGAACUCCAUCUAAAGCUAAAUAUUGGCGAGAGACCGAUAGCGAACAAGUACCGUGAGGGAAAGAUGAAAAGCACUUUGGAAAGAGAGUGAAACAGUACGUGAAAUUGUUGAAAGGGAAACGCUUGAAGUCAGUCGCGUCCGCCAGGAUUCAGCCUCACGGUGUACUUUCUGGUGGACGGGCCAGCAUCACUUUCAAUCAUCGGAAAAGGUCGAGGGGAAUGUGGCACCUUCGGGUGUGUUAUAGCCCCUUGUCGUAUACGGUGACUGGGAGUGAGGACCGCCUUUUGUAGGAUGCUGGCGUAAUGGCUUUAAACGACCCGUCUUGAAAC